UGUCCACAGCAUCACAGAUCAGUCAUGAUCUCACAGAAAAGCAGUGCACCACCAGUCUGGGAGGUCUGCUCCUGCAGGGAACAGACAACAUGGUCCAGAAAUUGUUCUUCCACCUUGUUAAACCUUGUUCCACCUGUUAAACCAUCUGAUCAGCCUAUGAUACCUUUCUCUUUACCAGAAGAUUUGAAAGAGCAAGCUGGAGUUACUAUAGUAAAUGUGUCAUUUCCUCUCCUUUCCAAAGGAUGAAACAGCUGAGAUUGCAGGGACUAAACUUCAAGACAUACAGAAAAUUAUUGUAGCUUCCAGAAUCCACUGGAUCUCAGCAGAGUAUCCCAGCAAUUACCCAUUCACAGAGAAGUGGUCUUUCUACAGUUUGAUGCAGCAAUCAGACAUCAAUUAUGGUAGGAAUUACAACUUGUUGGGGAUGGGACUGGCAACUUUUUUGAUAAAAAGGUGUUUUUUUAGUUGUUCACAAAGAAAAAAAAAUGUAGGAAAGCUGAAUUUAAAUUUUGUCCAUGGUGUCUGUUCCGAGAUCAUGAUAUGUG
rnacentral:lncRNA from 1 species